UACGGAGGAUCCGAGCGUUGUCCGGAUUUAUUGGGUUUGAAAGGGUGCGUAGGCGGUUUUAUAAGUCAGUGGUUAAAGAACGUCUCCGCUCAACGAUGAGGGAUGCCAUUGAUACUGUAGAAGCUUGAGUACUGUAGAGGUAGGCGGAAUUGGUAGUGUAGCGGUGAAAUGCAUAGAUACUACCAGGAACACCGAUUGCGAAGGCGAGCUUAACUGGAGAGGUAACUGAACGACUGAGGC
rnacentral:rRNA from 1 species